rnacentral:rRNA from 1 species
UUGAUCCUGCCGGACCCUACUGCUAUCGGGGUAAGGCUAAGCCAUGCAAGUCGUAGGCCUCGGGGCAUCCCGGGGCCUGGCGCACGGCUGAGUAACGCGUGGCUAACCUACCCUGCGGAGGGGGAUAACCCCGGGAAACUGGGGAUAAACCCCCAUAGGUGAGCAGCUCUGGAACGACUGCUCGCCGAAAACCCUCUGCGGGGACCCUCCGCUGAGGGGCCGCAGGAUGGGGCUGCGUCCUAUCAGGUAGUUGGUGGGGUAAUGGCCCACCAAGCCUGAGACGGGUAGGGGCCCUGAGAGGGGGAGCCCCCAGAUGGACUCUGAGACAAGAGUCCAGGCCCUACGGGGCGCAGCAGGCGCGAAAACUCCGCAAUGGGCGAAAGCCCGACGGGGUUACCCCGAGUGCCACCCUCGUGGUGGCUUUUGCCCGCUGUAAACAGGCGGGCGAAUAAGGGGAGGGCAAGUCGGGUGUCAGCCGCCGCGGUAAUACCCGCUCCCCGAGUGGUAGGGACUAUUACUGGGCCUAAAGCGCCCGUAGCCGGCCUGGUGUGUCCCUCGUUAAAUCCACAGGCCUAACCUGUGGGCUGCGGGGGAUACUACCAGGCUUGGGGGUGGGAGAGGCGCUCGGUAUUCCCGGGGUAGGGGUAAAAUCCUCUGAUCCCGGGAGGACCACCAGUGGCGAAGGCGGAGCGCCAGAACACGCCCGACGGUGAGGGGCGAAAGCUGGGGGAGCAAACGGGAUUAGAUACCCCGGUAGUCCCAGCUGUAAACGAUGCGGGCCAGGUGCCGGGACGGCUACGAGCCGCCCCGGUGCCGAAGGGAAGCCAUUAAGCCCGCCGCCUGGGGAGUACGGCCGCAAGGCUGAAAUC